GGGUUGUGAGGUUAAGCGACUAAGCGUACACGGUGGAUGCCCUGGCAGUCAGAGGCGAUGAAGGACGUGCUAAUCUGCGAUAAGCGCCGGUAAGGUGAUAUGAACCGUUAUAACCGGCGAUUUCCGAAUGGGGAAACCCAGUGUGACUCGUCACACUAUCAUUAACUGAAUCCAUAGGUUAAUGAGGCGAACCGGGGGAACUGAAACAUCUAAGUACCCCGAGGAAAAGAAAUCAACCGAGAUUCCCCCAGUAGCGGCGAGCGAACGGGGAGGAGCCCAGAGCCUGAAUCAGCAUGUGUGUUAGUGGAAGCGUCUGGAAAGGCGCGCGAUACAGGGUGACAGCCCCGUACACAAAAGCGCACAUGCUGUGAGCUCGAUGAGUAGGGCGGGACACGUGGUAUCCUGUCUGAAUAUGGGGGGACCAUCCUCCAAGGCUAAAUACUCCUGACUGACCGAUAGUGAACCAGUACCGUGAGGGAAAGGCGAAAAGAACCCCGGCGAGGGGAGUGAAAAAGAACCUGAAACCGUGUACGUACAAGCAGUGGGAGCACCCUUUGGGGUGUGACUGCGUACCUUUUGUAUAAUGGGUCAGCGACUUAUAUUCUGUAGCAAGGUUAACCGUAUAGGGGAGCCGGAGGGAAACCGAGUCUUAACCGGGCGUUAAGUUGCAGGGUAUAGACCCGAAACCCGGUGAUCUAGCCAUGGGCAGGUUGAAGGUUGGGUAACACUAACUGGAGGACCGAACCGACUAAUGUUGAAAAAUUAGCGGAUGACCUGUGGCUGGGGGUGAAAGGCCAAUCAAACCGGGAGAUAGCUGGUUCUCCCCGAAAGCUAUUUAGGUAGCGCCUCGUGAAUUCAUCUCCGGGGGUAGAGCACUGUUUCGGCUAGGGGGCCAUCCCGGCUUACCAACCCGAUGCAAACUGCGAAUACCGGAGAAUGUUAUCACGGGAGACACACGGCGGGUGCUAACGUCCGUCGUGAAGAGGGAAACAACCCAGACCGCCAGCUAAGGUCCCAAAGUCAUGGUUAAGUGGGAAACGAUGUGGGAAGGCCCAGACAGCCAGGAUGUUGGCUUAGAAGCAGCCAUCAUUUAAAGAAAGCGUAAUAGCUCACUGGUCGAGUCGGCCUGCGCGGAAGAUGUAACGGGGCUAAACCAUGCACCGAAGCUGCGGCAGCGACGCUGAUGCGUUGUUGGGUA
rnacentral:rRNA from 1 species